rnacentral:lncRNA from 12 species
CAACACCUGACUUCUAGAUGCCAAUGUCUGUUUCUGUCAAGAUGGGGUAUGAUGCGUGUGGUAGCAAACCACUUCCAAAAUUCAGGGAGAUAAGAAGAGAUUUACAUUCAAGACUCAGGAUUGUUAUUUUCAUACCAAAGGAAGAAAUAAUCUUUCCAGAAAACUCGACAAAUGGACACUGCAUUACAGCUAGGAUUCUGAAUGGACAGGUAAGGUUCACUCAACCAGAUUUCCAUUAAAAAGCUGAUUAGCAAAAUUAAAUUACC